AAGACCUUGCGCUUUUGGAGCGGCCGAUGUCUGAUUAGCUAGUUGGUAGGGUAAUGGCCUACCAAAGCUUCGAUCAGUAGCUGGUCUGAGAGGACGACCAGCCACACUGGGACUGAGACACGGCCCAGACUCCUACGGGAGGCAGCAGUGGGGAAUUUUGGACAAUGGGCGCAAGCCUGAUCCAGCAAUGCCGCGUGAGUGAAGAAGGCCUUCGGGUUGUAAAGCUCUUUCAGCCGGGAAGAAAAGGCUACGACGAAUAAUCGUAGCUCAUGACGGUACCGGAAGAAGAAGCACCGGCUAACUACGUGCCAGCAGCCGCGGUAAUACGUAGGGUGCGAGCGUUAAUCGGAAUUACUGGGCGUAAAGGGUGCGCAGGCGGUUUUGUAAGUCAGAUGUGAAAUCCCCGGGCUUAACCUGGGAACU
rnacentral:rRNA from 1 species